GACGAACGCUGGCGGCGUGCUUAACACAUGCAAGUCGAACGGAAAGGCCCUGCUUUUGUGGGGUGCUCGAGUGGCGAACGGGUGAGUAACACGUGAGUAACCUGCCCUUGACUUUGGGAUAACUUCAGGAAACUGGGGCUAAUACCGGAUAGGAGCUCCUGCUGCAUGGUGGGGGUUGGAAAGUUUCGGCGGUUGGGGAUGGACUCGCGGCUUGUCAGCUUGUUGGUGGGGUAGUGGCUUACCAAGGCUUUGACGGGUAGCCGGCCUGAGAGGGUGACCGGCCACAUAGGGACUUAAGAGCAGCCGAGGCGCGUACGGGAGGCAGCAGGGAGGAAGAUUGCACAAUGGGCGGAAGCCGUAUGCAGCAACGCCGCGUGCGGGAUGACGGCCUUCGGGUUGUAAGCCGCUUUCGCCUGUGACGAAGCGGGAGUGACGGUAAUGGGGAGAGAAGCACCGGCUAACUACGUG
rnacentral:rRNA from 1 species